GGCCGGCUAGCUCAGUUGGUUAGAGCAUGGUGUUGAUAACACCAAGCUCCCAGGUUUGAUCCCUGUACCGGCCA